rnacentral:rRNA from 1 species
UCCAAUGUGUAGCAAUACACAUGAAGAUCUAGUGGCGAACGGGUGAGGAACACGUGAGAAAACGUACCCCCAGACUUUUGGGAUAACAGUUUCGAAAGGACUGCUAAUACCAAAAUAACGUCGGAAGUUCCGCAUGGACUAUCUGACGAAAAGGGAUUCCGGUUUUGGGAGCGUCUCGCGGACCUAUCAGCUAGUUGGAGGGGUAACGGCCCACCAAGGCAACGACGGGUAGCUGGUCUGAGAGGAUGGUCAGCCACACUGGGACUGAGACACGGCCCAGACUCC